GCCACGAUUCGACACGUGAUCAUGCUACACCAAUGAGAAGGCUGCUUUUUGACAACAGAAUGGAAAAAUGGCGGCUCCCGUGUGGUUAGAUCCAACGUGAACGAUAUAUAUAUAUAAUAUAUAUAUAAUAGAGGAAAACACUCGAACAGUCACCAUGCAUUCGUCGAGCACUACGGACGACAAAGAUAAUGAACCAAAGAGUUAUAAAAAACUCAUAAAAACAUUGAAAAGCAAACAAAAAUAUACAUGUUAUAUGCAUAUUACUUCGAACCAGUACGAGAAUGUAAAUUGUUUCACCACUGCACGAUGGAAUGCAUACAGGACAAGCCUACAGAAGUGGCUCGGUUUGGAGGGUGAGUCUCGGGACCUGGCUGAGAACUUUAAACACUGUGUUGAUGUCGAGUUUGACAAUAUUCCCGAGGAAGCUGGAUUCCAUCACACGUGCUACCGUAGAUUUACGGACAAAAAGGCCAUCGCAAAGGUGGAAAGACGUCUUGCACGUGAGAGACAAAAAGCUACGGAAGACCCCGAGGACACAGAAGACCACGAGGCCAUUCCAUCGACUUCUAGCAGCAGGAGUCCAACAAAGAAACUGCGAUCCAGGCCAAUUGCAGAAAGCUGCCGAGUUGAAGGAAGACCAAAGUAUUCUUUUGCAUAUAAAAGAUUGUGUGGCUCUGGAGGUGCAGUACCACAGAGGCUGUUACAAUCGGUACACCAGGUUUUUGACGAAGCCUGAAAAACCGGGGAAAGAACAGUACGUUUUUUUUUAUAUUGCAUUUCAAGGAGCUACUAACUUAACAUUAUAUAAGUAAACAUUUCAUCUGCAUUCUGUUGUAUGUGCACACAAUCACAAAACUUAUUCAUUUCUUUACUUCUCAUUCAUAUGUGUUUUAGGAAUGAGCCCAUGUUCGAUGUCAGCUUUAAGAUAUUUUGUGAGCGGAUCAUUCGCCAAAGGCUGCUUGUCAACCAAGAGGUGCUCAGAAUGGACCAGCUGAGGAAGGCCUUCAUUGAACUGGUGAAAGCAAAUGAAGGUCUUGAUGCUUCAAACUACAGACAGGAUAUGUUGAAGAGGAGGCUGACUCGUGAGUUCCCCCAGCUGGUG